rnacentral:SRP_RNA from 1 species
GCCAGGCACGGUGGCACGUGCCUGUAGUCCCAGCUACUCGUGAGGCUAAGGCUGGAGGAUCUCUUGAGUCCAGGAGUUCUGGGCUGUAGUGCUAUGCUGAUCCAGUGUCCGCACUAAGUUCACCAUCAAUAUGGUGACCUCCCGGGAGCAGGGGACCACCAGGUUGCCUAAGGAGGGGUGAACCGGCCCAGGUCAGAAACGGAACAGGUCAAAACUCCCGUGCUGAUCAGUAGUGGGAUCGCGCCUGUGAAUGGUCACUGCACUCCAGCCUGGGCAAUGUUGAGAGACCCUGUCUCU